rnacentral:lncRNA from 1 species
CUCGAGAAACCCACCGGUUACCCGUUUUUCGUUCCGUGAAGUUUAGUCAAAUUUUUCAAAAUUUUCCACAUUAACUGGGUCAAGAUGAUGUUACACGUUAGAGAUAUCAUUCCGCUAGUCAUGAUGAUAGCGGUGUUCGUGCUACAAAUCUUGUACCUCGAAUAGAGAGGACAUUGCGUCCUAGGGACUCGCAUGUCGCAGGACGUGGAGUCCCAUGUAGAAAGUUUUUCUUGUCUUGUGCUGUGUUUUUUAGUUAUUUAAGGUAAUGAUUAGUUAUUA